ACACUGAAGGCAUCAAGGGCUAUUUCACCAAGAAGGAGAGUGAUGGGGUGCUGCGCCAGAUGACCUGGCCCCCACAGUCACCGGACCUGAACCCAAUCGAGAUGGUUUAGGGGUGAGCUGGACCACAGACAGAAGGCAAAAGGACCAACAAGUGCUAAGCAUCUCUCGGGGAACUCCUUCAAGACUGUUGGAAGACCAUUUCAGAUUUGAGGGAAAGAUUAAAAACAAGGAGGUCUGGGAAUGACUGAAGGGAACUGACAGCAGUUAGGGAAGGAAGUUAUCACCAGAAUCUCAGAGGAUGUUGACAGUGCAGGUCCAGGAUGAAGAAGAGGAGGAACAACACGUUUAACAAUUUUCUCAUAAGCUUGCCAUGUGUUAUAAUAAAAACAAUGAACAUGGCUACAAUAAUAUGCUAAAUGUUAUUAAAAGAUUCCAGUUUGCAAGAAGUCUGAGUGUCUGACUCUACACUAGAGGAACUCUUUUCUGAAGAAGAUCAGGUGCUGAGAAGAAGCCUUGUUCUACAGCACAACACUGCAAGCCUCCUGUCCUUCCCUCAGAAGAGCCUGUCUUCUGCUGCUGGGGUAAGAAACACCCUCUUCCUCUUCUCUAUCAGCUGUCCAGCACCUAACCCUGCCUCCUCAGCACUGUCUGAAAGGGUCUUCUCCACAGUCAGUAAUCACAGAUCACAGAUUCUUCUGAGAAAGUCGAUAUGCUCAUUUUCUUAAAAGAAUUUGUUUUUUCGGGUGGGACAAAUAAUACAGGAGAGAUGCUAGAAAUCUCUAUAUUGUUCAUUUUUCAUAUCUUUACGCUUUAUGAAUGUUUUUCUUCUGAGAAGCUCAAAAAUUAUGGUUCUUUGGUAAUUGUUAUAUUGUUUAGGUUUAUCCUCUGAUAGUGAGCACAGAGCCCUGAUCAUGACAUGCAAGAAAAAGAAAGAAAUCAUGUCCAUGAUUUACUAAUUCGUUCCCUCUAUGUACUAAACGUGCACGAUUACUUUUACAUUUCAUUGAUUUGCUAAAUCGUAUGCACAAUUUACUAAUUCGUUCUCUUGAUGUAUAAAUAGUGUACACGUUUUAGCAAAUCGAGGGAAUGAAAUAGAAAAUCGUGCGCAUGAAUUAGCCUAAAUUUUUUCCUGCAUGUCGUGUAAUUAAAGCACAUCACCAUCAGACAUUUAUACCAGGAGCCUCAUAUAUGACGCUCACAGUUUUACUUUGUGCAGUAUCUCGGUGCAGUAUCUGCUGAAUUGUUUCAUAUCUAUUUAUCAUGUAUUUUUUUGUUGCACUAAAUUAUGUUGUAUCAAUAAGUUUACUGAUAAUUAUUUUUAAUUUUCACUAAUAACGUCAUUAACCAUCUCCCCAUCUUUAAGACAAACAUUUUCUAUUGUUUAUAUUGUGUAAUCUAUGAAUUGAUGUGUUUAGUUUUCUGUGCUCAUAACUUAGUAACAUUUUGCAUGUUUAAAGAACAGGUGCGAUGUUCAAAAUGUUUUGGCUUCGUAUUUGUACAAAGUAGUGCUGAAUAAAUAUUGAUUUGUGAAUGAA